rnacentral:rRNA from 1 species
UACGUAGGGUGCAAGCGUUGUCCGGAAUUAUUGGGCGUAAAGAGCUUGUAGGCGGUUUGUCGCGUCUGCUGUGAAAUUUCGGGGCUCAACCCCGAACUUGCAGUGGGUACGGGCAGACUAGAGUGUGGUAGGGGGAGACUGGAAUUCCUGGUGUAGCGGUGGAAUACGCAGAUAUCAGGAGGAACACCGGUGGCGAAGGCGGGUCUCUGGGCCAUAACUGACGCUGAGAAGCGAAAGCAUGGGGGAGCGAACAGG